CCUCAUCUCACCAGUGCUGGUGGCCCCAUAGGGCUGGCCUGGAAGCAGAGCUGUGGGCAGCAGCACAGGGACCCACCAGAGAUGCCCUCUCUGGUAGUGUGUGUGUGUGUGUGUGUGUGUGUGUGUGUGUGUGUGCCCUGCCCACCACCCAUCCUUUCAGAGAGACACGAUGGGCACUGUCUUGGGAGAACUGGCCUAAAACAUUCAGGCCAGAUUUCUGGUCAGUUCUGCCCAUGUGGGUGGUUAGACUCUCUCCAGGACGGACAGUUAAAUGCAGUUCUCAUAGGGGAGGUCAGAGUUCCGGUAGCUCUAAACAGGUUCUUCCUCCCGACCCUCCAGUGGGAACGGACCGAUUUUUAGCCACAAGGCAGGACACCUCCGAGCUGACUCAGGGAUUCUAGUAUCUAUAGAACGGGAGCUAAGUUUGGGUGUUACUGUCAUAACUCAGGCUUGCUUCCAACCUCGGCAUGUCCCGUGUGUGUGUGUAUAGCCUGCUGUUGGAGUCUUCUCCCAAACCAAGCCUGAGCCCUGAAGGUAGCUGAGGCCGCCAUGCCUUUCUUCUAGUUUAGGCAGGCACCAGGGGGAAGCCCUUUCGGGGGAGUGACCAGAAUCCUUUCAGCCUUUCCAGGUCCAUCUCUCCUGAUGCCAGUGUCCCACCCCAGGUUCCCAAGGCCAGCCCUGCUCUGUUCUUCCAUCAUAACCACACAGCCUUAGUUCUCAAAAGCCAGGAGCCUGGGCCCCAACCUUCUCAAGAGAAGACAGACAUCCCAAGAAAGGACACAGGCCAGUUCUUUUCUGCCCCCAGGCUGCCCUAUUCAGAGCCUCCUUUGCUGGGUGAGGGUGCACAGGCUGUGAAGGGCGCCCAGCCUCGGAGAAUGGUUCCUGACAAUCCCUCAUGGGCAGAUGAGCUCAGAGCAAGUUUCUCAUCUUCCUCUGUCACCCCUAGUCCACCCCCAUCCCCGACCUGGUCCAACGUGGGGAGAGGGAGGAGGGGUCAGAGGACGGCAAGGCCAAGGGGGUGGUGUGAAGGGAGCAGUGGGUGCAGGGGAGCGAGUGGUGCGCAGGAGCCCUGUGGCGAUGAUGCCGGCACGUAGGCUGAUGCGGCUGCCUGGUGCCUGGCCCUCUCCCCACAGUAUCAUUCAUCUAUCACCUCCACAGAGUCCUCGUCCUUCCUCUGCUCUGAGUGCUCCUCUGUUGUUUCUGUGUUCUCAGUGUCUGACAGCGAUGCCACCUGUCGCACCCAGCCACUGUCACUGAGAGGCUUUGGAUGACGCAGUCCGGAGAAGGGGUUGAACCAGUUCAGGGAAAAGUCCCCACCAAAGGUCUCUUUGACUGACUUCCAGCUGCUUGUGCGUUCCCUGGGCUGGUGCUUUCGUUUGAGGCGCUCAAUGCCCUGGAGGGACAAUGGGAUAAAGAGGGUCAGCGUGGGACAGCCGUGCGCCAUCUAACACACCCCAGGUCCCGGCACAGCAGAGCACCAAGGCCCAGAGCCAGGGGUUCCCAGAGGGUGGGGAGGGGCUCGGAGCAGCACAGCAAGCAGGGCCUGUGUUUCCCACCAACUGCCCUCCUUUCCUUCCACAGGAGCAAGGGUGCCCGGCCAGCUGCUGCGCAGUGACCAGGCUGCCCAGUGGCUAAGGGCCAAGGAGUAACAUCUCAGGCCUCUGCAGGCAUGAGCUGGGCCAUCUGUCCGGAGACCACCCAGAAAGACAACCCCUCCCCAAGUAUCCUGGGCCACUCCCCCAGGCGCAGCAAACCCAGCACGAAGGAGGAUGAUGCGGUUAAGGGGGAGAGCAGGAGACACACGAAGCGUGAGGUGAGGAAGCAGAGGUGUGCACAGCGAGUGCCAACAUGCAGCGGGCAGCUGGAGGGUGCACGGGGCUGCUGCGAGGGGGCAAAGGCUGGCGUCGAAACUGCACAUGCAGUAGACAUGCCCUGUGGCCUCUCCCGAGCUGCCCACUCACCUGCCUCUGGGUGUCGGCUGCGCCAGGCCACAGAAGAGGGUGUUGGGAAGGGGGAGAAGCCAAAGGAGUUAAAGGCACAGCCAGGCCAGCUCUCCAGGCCCACCACACCCUCUGCAGAGGCUUUACCCCCACUGGGGCUCUGCCUCCUCCAUCUCUUCUGGAAGCCAAGGAGAUUUGUCGUGGGCUUCCCAGGCACAGGUACUGCUCACUGACAGCACUUUCCACCUCGGAAUGACCUCUGAGUAACUAGUUCUAGGUUUUCUCUUCUUUUCCACACAAGAUCCUUACAUAACCAGCAUAAUUCUUUCUGUUGUGCAGAAGGAGAAACUGAGAUACACGUACAGACUGAGAUCUGGCCACACCUGGGCCAGUUCCUCUCCACCACUCUUUCUUCCCACACCAUCUCAGAGGUUUAAGUUUCUUGGCUUUUGGAAAAAUGGUAGGUUAAAGAACCUGAUCUCAAAGUAUCUCCUCAUAAGAUACUUCCUAAUUACCGAGGGUAAAACAGUACCUUUACGGUAAGGAAACUUCGCAGAUAUAACUUUAACCAAUUGAAGUUAACAUCACCAAUAAUGAAAUGUAUCAACAUCACGUGCCCUCCGAUACGGUGUCCCGAGAAGGACAGAACAUCACUUCACUGGUUUUCCUGCCCAAAAGGCAUAAUCUCAAUCUAAUUAUGUGAAAACAUCAGACAAAUGCAGAUGUCAGGAUAUUCCACAGAAUAUCUUCAACAGGAUAAUAAUCUUCAAUAGGAUCAAAGUCUGAUGAAAUUGUUUUGGAACCAGACAGAAGUGGUGGUUGUACAAUAUUAUGAACAUACUAAAUGCCACUGAACCACACACUUUAAAAUGGUUGCUUUUAUGUGAUGUGAAUUUAACCUCAACUAGAAAGAGGAUCAGGUUCAUGAAAGACAGAGAAAGACUGAGGAGGAACUAAAGACACAGGACAAAGGAUGCAAUGUGGCAUCCUGGAACAGAGAACGAUACUAGUGGGACAACUGGAGAACUCUGAAUAAAGUAUAUAGAUUAGUUAAUGGUAUUGUAUCAGUAAAUUUCCAGGUUUUUAUAUUUGUGUUAUGGUUUUAUAAAAUGUUUACAUUUGGAAAGAUUGAUUGAAAGGCAUAUGGGAGCUCUUUGUACUAUUUUUACUAAUUUUUUUUUUUUUGGUUAAGUCUGAAAUUAUUUCUCAAUAAAAAGCUAAGAAAACUCUGAGACACGAUUUAUGCAAUACAGUCUUGAACACGGAUUAAUAAUGAGAAGUUGGAAACAAUCAAAAUGUCCAAUAAUGAUGGCUAAGUAAAUUAUUCUAUAAAGCACAACACUAUGCAGUUAUUGAAAGUGGCAUCAACGACAAGGGCCUAAUUUUCAAAAUAUACAAACAGCUCAUACAACUCAAUAACAAAAAACAAAUAACCCAAUCCAAAAAUUGGCAGAAGGCCUAAACAGACAUUC